rnacentral:rRNA from 1 species
GACGUAGGGCGCAAGCGUUGUCCGGAUUUAUUGGGCGUAAAGAGCUCGUAGGCGGCUUGUCGCGUCGACUGUGAAAACCCGUGGCUCAACCAUGUGGUCUGCAGUCGAUACGGGCAGGCUAGAAUUCGGUAGGGGAGACUGGAAUUCCUGGUGUAGCGGUGAAAUGCGCAGAUAUCAGGAAGAACACCGAUGGCGAAAGCAGCUCUCUGGGACGGUACUGACGCUGAGACGCGAAAGCGUGGGGAGCGAACAGG